GAGGGCGGGGCUCCCAGCAUCAUCACCACCGGCCAUCACUGCUUCAUUGUACGGAGGCUGCUGCUGCUGCUGCUGAUGCUGACACCAUAGCGGACGAUCUUUUUUCCCCUCCGAAAAAAGGAGCAUGUCAUGGACACGGUUUCACGCAGAUUAGGACUCCUCACAUGACGGGAAUCGAUCUGGAGACGCGCCCUUUUUCUCUGAUAGGAGAAUGAGGAAGAGGAGGAACUGGAAACCACUGGGAGCGCCUUGGAAAGUUUCUGUGACGUCUCAAUGAAAGCAUUAGAAGAGUCUCACUAGUAUUUGACUCAAUGGCCAAGAAAGGGCGUACGAAGAGCGAGAAGCCCGAAGCGCUCAUCUCUGCCCUACAGGCAGCCAAUGAAGAUCUCAGGUCCAAGCUGACUGACAUUCAGAUAGAGCUACAUCAAGAAAAAUGCAAGGUGAGCAAACUGGAGCGCGACAAGCUCCAGGAGGUGAAGCGGGUGAAAGAGCAGGAGCAGCACCGUCACACUGCCAUGUUGACCGAGCAGCGGGCCAAGUGGCACGAGGAAAAGCAGAAGGAGCUCCAAGCUCUGAGGGAAAACCUGACGCGACAGCAUGAGCAGGAGCUGGCCCGCCACGCCAAAAUCAAAGACCAGGAGAACCAGAGGCUCAAAGCCGCGCUGAGCGCAAUGCGCGACGGCAGCGGAGAGAAGGUGCGCACAGCGCUGACCCUGGAAGCGAAGGAGGAUGCACGCCGAUUCUUUGACCAGGAGAGAGUGAAGCUCCUGCAGGAGAUACUGGAGCUGAAGUCCACUAAGAAGCAGACCGACGAGGCUCUCAGCAACAUGAUCCAGUCCGACAAGAGUAAGGCUGGCGACCUGCGGGUGGAGCACCAGCAGCACCAGGAGCAGAUCUCCAAGAUCAAGUGGGACUCUGAGAAGGACAUCCGCAGACUGGUGGAUGAAAUCAAAUCUAAAGACCGCACCAUCUUUGCCCUGGAGAAGGACCUGGAGUCAACGGCGGGUUUCUUACAGAGGCUGCAGCUCCAGAAGGACGCCCUGGACGAACAGCUGUUCCUCGUCAAGGAGGCGGAGUGCGGCCUGGGGAGCCCGAAAAGAGAGAUUCCAGGCAGAGCUGGAGAUGGAGCCGAGCACUGUGGUAGCCCAGACUUGAGGAGAAACCAGAGGCGCCUCGCUGAACUCAACUCGACUAUACGCAAAUUAGAAGACCGCAACUCACUGCUGGUCGAUGAGAGGAAUGAACUGCUGAAGCGAGUUCGAGAGUCAGAGAAGCAGUGUAAGCCAAUGCUGGACAAGAACAAGCUGCUGAGCAAGAGGAAUGAUGAUUUGACUCAGACGAUCCAGAAGCUGGAGGAGAAACUCAAGCACCUGGUCAAGGAGAACCAUGAGAUGAAGGAGAAGAUGAGCUCCCAUGCUCCACUGAAGAAACUCAAGUCUCUGAAUGACCUGGACCAAGCACAUGAUGACCAGGAAAUAGCCUUUCUCAAGCUUCAAGUCCUGGAGCAGCAAAGCAUGAUUGAUGAGUUGACAAGGGACCGAGAAAAACUACUAAGAAAGAAAAGGCAUAAAAGAAGUUCCAGGCCAAUAAAGAGGCACAUCGUAGUAGACACCUUCUUUGGGUACGAUGAAGAGUCUAUGGACUCGGAGACGUCUUCAGUGGCUUCGUUCCGGAUGGACAGAACUCCUGCUACUCCUGAUGAAGACCUGGAGGAGGGUCUAGCCAACGAGGAGUCGGAGCUGCGUUUCCGUCAGCUGACCAGGGAGUAUCAGGCCUUACAGCGAGCCUAUGCCCUGCUGCAGGAACAGAAAGGAGGCAUUCUGGACGCUGAGAUGGAAGCCAGGGCUCAGGAGCAUAUCCAAGCUGACCUUCUCAGGUAUAAAGCCAAAAUAGAGGACUUGGAGAAGGAGCUGAACAUGAAGGGACAGGACUCCAAAUGGGUGGAGGAGAAGCAGCUCUUCUUUCGAAGGAAUCAGGAGCUAUUAGAUAAGGUGGAGAAGCUGGAUUCAGAGAACAGCCGGCUGCAGCAGGAACUACAAGACUCCAAAGAUCAGAAUGAGCUGUUAGAGUUUAGGAUACUGGAGCUAGAGGAGCGUGAGAGGAAGUCCCCUCCGUUCAACCACCUGAGGAUGCAUCCCUUCUCUGAGGGAGUCAGUGCACUGCAGAUCUACUGUAUGAAGGAGGGGGUCAAGGACGUGUGCAUACCAGAUCUCAUCAAACUUCUGGAUAUCCUGGGAGACAACGGGAACUUAAGAAAUGAAGAGCAAGUGGCCAUCAUUCAGGCCAGCACUGUUUUGUCACUAGCAGAAAAGUGGAUUCAACAGAUCGAGGGGACGGAGGCAGCGCUGCACCAGAAGAUGAUGGACCUGGAGAUAGAGAUGGAGAUGUUCUGUAAACAGAAAGGAUAUCUAGAAGAGGAGCUGGACUAUAGAAAACAGGCCCUGGACCAGGCCUACAUGCAAAUCCAAGAGUUGGAAGCAACGUUAUACAACGCCCUGCAGCAGGACAAGGUGAUAAAGUACGGCGAGCCUCUGGAUGAGCUUCAGAAGGACGAGCUGCGGACGGCGGUGGAGAAGCUGAGGAGGCAGAUGCUGAGGAAGAGUCGAGAGUACGACUGCCAGAUCCUCCAGGAGAGGAUGGAGCUGCUGCACCAGGCGCACAAGAGAAUUCGCGACCUUGAAGACAAGACGGAAAUCCAGAGGAGGCAGAUUAAAGACCUGGAGGAGAAGUUUUUGUUUCUGUUCUUGUUCUUUUCUCUUGCCUUUAUCCUUUGGCCUUGAAGUCUUUGGCGUGUCCUGUAGCAGAGGUAUGCUUGGUAAGGGUUUUGUGUUGAAGGUCAGGAAGAGGGAAAUAGGCUUUGAGCCAUGGCUGCUAUUGGUUAUUCUUCCAUCUGAUGUGCGCUGCACAUGUUUCACUCAAUGGACAGAAAUAGCAAUUGCAUAAACUACUGCUAGUACAUCCGUUGCUGAUACAGGUCAGUACUAUUCUACAACACUAAUGUCAUUAUUUUCUGUGGUAUCUUAAAAGUUUUUCAUAAAUUCAUUCAUAAAAACAGCUUAAACAUACAAGGGCUCAGUGUUAUGAAACCGUUUUAAGACUGUGAUAUAUUAUGAGAAUCAUAAAACCUCCCAACACUGAAGCAGUGAAUAUUUUUUGGGGGGGUUUAUGCAGGACACAGAGUUGGGUCAGUCCAGGAUAACAGUCUGUCUUUUCACUUUAGUCCUGACUGUCCUCGCCAAGCCAGAAGAGAACAAGGUGCGAGCCAGGUUUCACGUUGUGGACCAGUCCUGCCAAAGGAUGUCUGUCAUAAAAGCACUUGUAUCUGUCCUCCUCUCAGCAGCCACACAGAGGUCACUCCCAGAGGUGAUAGUGUGCACUGGCUGAAUAACUGCCCUCUAAAACCAUUUUAAAAGGAAAACAAAAGUGUGCCAUUUUUUCUGUGAUCUAUACUAAAUUCAGCAUUUUUCUCAGUUACUGAACACAUAAUCCUAAAAGACACAUUUGUUAUGUGUAAAUAGAAACAGCUUCCUCUGCAGAACGUCUAUACUGUAGAUGCUUUUUCAGCACAGCGCCUCAGCUAAAACUCUUUUGACACAACUCAAGGGGGGAUAGUUUAAAACUCAUAUUUUAAUUUAGUCAUACCAGAUGACAUGAAAACCCCAGUGACAUUCAUUGCGUGUUACAAAGCCCUCCUCGCUGUAAGUUAUACAACAUUGAAAUAUCUGACAGUAUAUCCUCGGAGGCUCCUUAACCUUAUUUCAGCAGCAGCUGGUCGGCAGCCAAACCAUCCCAGGCGGAUGCAGCUGCCCAGUCUGCUCCGUUCAGCUGCUUAGCAACACCGACUUCAUGGCUCAUACUCCUGUUAUUAAACAUGUGAGACCAGCCACCCACUUGGUUUCUUUUCAUCUUUUUUUAACUAUAGUGAGAGAAAAGAUUCAUUUCCAGCAUUAUAAUAGAUGGUGCAAAGCAGCUGAAGUGUGUCUCCUCCUGCAGCUUUGACCUCAGUUUGCCAUUCUUUUAUUAUCAGGCUCAUCCAAGCAUCCGAAAAAAAGAGUUGAAUGUGAGCCUUUGUCUUCGCUCUCUCCUGAUCAUCCUCUGUGUGUUGCCAAAGGAUCACUGCUGCUGGUGACUGUGUGCUACUGCGCUACUACUACUGCUCCAUGCUGCUCUGGAUAAUGAGGGGAAAAGAUUGCGGUCUGUUUUUCCCAGUUUCUAAAAAUACAAAGGCUAGAAAAAAAGUCACAAAUGAAGAUGAGCCAAAAAGUUUCACCAAAUAUAGUUUUUUUUU